AUGCUCGUGAUGCAUAUAGUUCAAUCAAAGAAGGUGGUCAAGAACGUAGCACACGCAAAGCAGACGCCAAGCAUGGCAAGUCAAGCUCACGCCAAAGAAAAGGCUUAAGCAAAUAUCAAAGCAGCAUGCAAUUUAUCCAUGGCAAGCAAAAUUCUCAAGCAAUUCCCAUGACAAACAAAUUCUCCCUCAAAAUGCAAAAAGAUUCAAGCAUUGCAGAGCAUGCAUUCUGUCAAUUUCUAUUUCCACAAGAUCGGAGAAAAGUCCAGAUUUAAUCAAGCGUGUGUUCACAAGAAAAACAAGCCUAGGCCAAACACCAGUCUAUGUCUAUUCCUACAAAGCCAAAAGAAAGACUCAAGAUUCCAGUGAAGGAGCAGAACUAUUUACUGAGAAAUCGAGAUAG
rnacentral:lncRNA from 1 species